ACAGUUCGCAGUGACACCUGAGAAGAGGAAGUGACCGCGCUCAUGGAAAAGCAGUUUGUCACCAAAGUGUCCUGUGUCUUCAAGUGAGCUGUCCCACUGCAUCUGUCUUCCAUUCGUUUGCAUCAGUGACGACAUCUUUUCUGGAAAAGGCUGAUGACGAAGGCUCCGGAACAGCUAUGGCAGAGACGGUCUUUGGAAUAUUUGUCAUCCGACAGGAAGGAGCCGGGCCUGCUGAUGACCCAGAGGAUGUUGGAAUCCUUCUGGAAGGGGUGGAGGUACUCAACAACUUGACAAAUGUUCCUUUUGCUGUUGCGAUGUUGCUCGCCCUUGUAUAUGCUCUAAACCUGAGCUAUCCUCCGGAGUUGAAAUGUACCUUCAAAGCACUUCAGAAAAUCAUAAUGGAAAUAGACGGAAGCAGACUAUCCAGAGAAGUACAAGCUCUCAAAACAUUCCUUUGCCGUUAGUGAAGUGAUGGAGAAUCCUUCACACAGGAAUUGGAGCUCAGACAAUUAGUUAUCUGUGAAGGACAAAUAUUAAAAUGGAAGGAGACUCAGGAGGUAGUCCCAUUUCCCAACAGUUAAUGGUCAGAAGAAAGACAAGAUAUAAUCUUGUCAUAGUCUCAUUUUGAAUACUGUCUUUUUUUGGUUGUUGUUGUUUU